CCCUCUGCCUACGUGUACCUCUAUAGCUUCCUCGGCGGGCUCGCCCGCCGCCAGGAACCCACGAAACCCCUUGCAUUAUACGCGAAAACUUCUGAUAACAAACCUAAAUUAUCACAACUUUCAACAAUGGAUCUCUUGGUUCUGGCAUCGAUGAAGAACGCAGCGAAAUGCGAUAAGUAGUGUGAAUUGCAGAAUUCAGUGAAUCAUCGAAUCUUUGAACGCACAUUGCGGCCAUAGGUAUUCCUUUGGCCAUGCCUGUUCGAGCGUCAUUUACACCCUCAAGCCUAGCUUGGUGUUGGGCGUCUGUCCCGCCGUUCUCGCGCGCGGACUCGCCUCAAAGUCAUUGGCGGCGGUCGUGCCGGCCCCCUCGCGCAGCACAUUUGCGCUUCUCGGAGGCCCGGCGGAUCCGCGCUCCAGCAAGACCUUUCACGACUUGACCUCGGAUCAGGUAGGGAUACCCGCUGAACUUAAGCAUAUCAAU
rnacentral:rRNA from 1 species